UAGAAAUAUCUGACCAGAGAGAUUUUCUUCUUCUCGGCUGGGUUUAGUCGAGUUUGGCGGUGCGUGAGUCUUCGAACAAUCUUUUUAGGGUUCGUCUCCUCUGUGUGGUGAUGUUGGAUAAGCUUGCGGGUCCGAGAUUGCGAUUCCUUUGUGGUGGCUCAGAAGUUGUAGGCGCUGUGUGUUUCAAGGUUUGAGGUCGCCUUUCUCUCAAGUAUGCUCGUGGCAACUAUGUUCCCAUUCCGCUCUUGCUUCUCCUUGGGUCCUUCACUGUUUUGCUGGUGCUCGGCUUAGAACUUGGUUCACCGUUCUUCUUGUUUAGGUCAUUGUUGUUGUUAGAUGUUCUGUUUAGGUUUCAUUAUUGCACGCUGUUAAUAGUCUCCCUCUGUAUCUUCUAUAAAAAAUUGAAAAACUUGGUAUAAUAUUUAACUUUUUACAAAAAAAAAA